UUUUCCGGACUGGUAAACUCGCAUUCUGAACGGAUGUGCUAUUAUUAGAUCGCUGGAUUAUAGAAUUGAUAUUGGUUUCUCGUUCAAUUAACGUAGGAAAGUUUCUGACGAUUAAAACGGAGCAACGAGAUAUAUGUGACGCGCAAUCCACUCGACGUUAAUAGGCGUGUACAAUUUAUAAUGCGCAUUGUGUGCGUAAUUAGGGGAAGAAUGGGCAGGAAGAAAUGGAUAACCGAUGCACACGUGAAAGGAAAUGCUCGUUUCUCGUCACGACAGCGCAAUAGCAACAGCUUGUAACUGAGCACCGGUUAAUUACAUUGUUUCGAGCAUCGAUCGAACGAGCUAUUGCCAUUAUUCCGUUUCUUAUCUAAAGCUGUUGUCAAAAAAUAAUUUACGAUCGAAUUAUUAUCGUGUUAAUAUUUGGAAUGAUAAUUUUUUCAUACUUUGAAUAAACACCAAUAUCAAUAACGUU